rnacentral:rRNA from 1 species
CUGUUCGCCCAUUAAAGUGGUACGCGAGCUGGGUUCAGAACGUCGUGAGACAGUUCGGUCCCUAUCCGUCGCAGGCGUAGGAAAUUUGAGAAGACCUGUCCUUAGUACGAGAGGACCGGGAUGGACGUACCUCUGGUGUACCAGUUGUCCUGCCAAGGGCAUGGCUGGGUAGCUAUGUACGGAAUGGAUAAGCGCUGAAAGCAUCUAAGCGCGAAGCCAACUUCAAGAUAAGAUUUCCCACCGCAAGGGUAAGACCCCAGAAAGACUAUCUGGUUGAUAGGUCGAAGGUGUAAGUGCAGCAAUGUAUUUAGCUUAUCGAUACUAAUAGGUCGAGGACUUGACCAAU